ensembl:snRNA
GUAUUGUAUGAAAGGAGAGGUUAGUAAUCCCAUUGACAAGGAUGGAAGAGGCCCUCGGGCCUCAUAACACGCAUACAGUUAAGGCAUUGCUACCUACUUUGUGGCAUCUAACCAUGGUGUUUU